CCUACGGGUGGCAGCAGUGGGGGAUAUUGGACAAUGGGGGGAACGCUGAUCCAGCAACGCCGCGUGGAGGAUGACGGUUUUCGGAUUGUAAACUCCUUUUGUUAGAGAAGAUAAUGACGGUAUCUAACGAAUAAGCACCGGCUAACUCCGUGCCAGCAGCCGCGGUAAUACGGAGGGUGCAAGCGUUACUCGGAAUCACUGGGCGUAAAGAGUGCGUAGGCGGGAUAGCAAGUCAGAUGUGAAAUCCUAUGGCUUAACCAUAGAACUGCAUUUGAAACUGGUAUUCUAGAGUAUGGGAGAGGUAGGUGGAAUUCUUGGUGUAGGGGUAAAAUCCGUAGAGAUCAAGAGGAAUACUCAUUGCGAAGGCGACCUGCUAGAACAUAACUGACGCUGAUGCGCGAAAGCGUGGGGAGCGAACAGGAUUAGAUACCCGAGUAGUC
rnacentral:rRNA from 1 species